CCCCUCGCCUUUUGACUUAUUUCUAAUUUGAAUUUUUCUGGCUUUAAUUUCAAGUCACUGAUUCUUGUUCUGCCUUUCACUGCUAGAUUAAAGUACACUUUAGUACCCAGUACUUUUCCCCUGUGAAGGCACUUAUAUACCAUAAUCAACUCACCAAUCGAUAAACUAAACAGAUUGAACUCUUAAAUCUCUCACUGUCAGGCAUUUUCUCCAGUCCGUGAAUCAUUUUUGUGGCUCUUCUCUGCAGCCUCUGCAGUUUUUCAACCUCCUUGGUAAAAUGUGGACACCUGGACGCAGUAUUCUUGUACAAGUCUCACCAAUGCUAUAUAUAGCACUUUGGUUUCAUUAAAUGUCUCCUCAUUCCUAUAUUAUGAGAAUGGGUCAAUAAACAUGCCCUUUCUAGUUGUAUGAGCCUUCUUUUAAGAAAAGAACAUUUUGAUUUGCAGGGGGCAUUUUAAGAGGUUCAGCAGACGAUGCAUGUUGACGGGCCCUGGAAGGGAAAGUUGAUGGCCGAAGAGUGAGAGGCAGAAAAAGAAGCUCUUGGAGGACAACGCGGUAUCCCAGGUGGCUCAAAAGGACUAUUCAUCCACAAAGAGAUUAAGAGAGGACCGUACAGAAUGGGCUACCACGGUUGCAAACCUCUAGUAAUGGAGAAGCCAUAUAAGAAGAAGAUGAGCUUUUCAACAUCUUAUGGCACUGCAAUGAAUUUGCUUCCAGCAGCACGAAUAAUCAUCCAUGAUGGAGCCUGUGUUAGAUCUCUGUCUGCACUGCAACACAGGGAAAUGUAAAUGAAAUCCGCCCGUUUAGAUGUCUUUAAUGUGAAGCUGCCACCUGGGAUUGUACUGAGAGUCUUUUGACCAAAUUCAGCAAGGGGGAUAGGGUACACCACUAAAGACAUAACAGGGAGCACAGAAUCUGCUCUUCAUUUAAAUGCCUCCUACAUGCUCAUUACUUGUGUGAUACUCAUAAAGAGUCAGUCAAUCAUUUCAGUGCCUAGAAUUGCAUUCUUAAUGAUGAAUCUCCCUAAUUAAUCCCUUCUCUGAGCUUUGCAGUGAGCCCUGUGCCGUGUCUGUCUUGUUUAAGUUGUACGUGCUGCCUCAGGAUCAAGGCCAUCUUCAUUCUGGGGGAAAAUUUCAAAAGCACCUAAGGGCCACAGGAGCACAAAUGCUACUAGAAAUCAAUGGGGCUCGUGCUCCCAAAUCCCAGGGUUGGAGCACCCACAGAGAAAAAUUAGUGGGUGUAUAGCACCCAUCAGCAGCCAAGCUCCCCUUCCUCCUCCCACUCCUGCCCGCUGCUGGCCCCCACCGAUCAAUUCCUCCUCCUUCCUCCCAGUGCCUC
rnacentral:lncRNA from 1 species